rnacentral:lncRNA from 1 species
AUUUCACACACAAAAAAAUGGAUAUUACUUUUGUUCCUCACCUUGACCAUUUAACAAUAUUGCAGAAGAUGAAACCCGACUCUGCUGUCCUUUAACCUUGUGUGUCUAGAAUUUCAUUUUAUCUUUUAGGUUUAUGUAGUUGAAGUGCUAUAAGGUAAAGGAUGGCCCAUCUACUUUAGGUGCCAACCAAGAUGGAUGACUUGUCCUAGAUGAUAUAUAUUUUUUCAAGCUUGACUUAGAUAUGAAGACUAAAAUUUCUAAAACCAGAUUUUUCCUCUAACUUAGUUAGAUAUAGGGUUUGUAUAAUGCCAUAUAACACGAAUUCUUUCAUUCAGCAGUUAUUUAGUGGAUAC